rnacentral:tRNA from 1 species
GUCAGUGUGGUGCAGUGGUUUGAGUGCUGGACUAUGAUUCUGGAGACCAGGGUUCGAAUCCCAGGUCAGCCA